rnacentral:snRNA from 1 species
GGAUGUGAGGGCGAUCUGGCUGUGACAUCUGUCACCCCAUUGAUCGCCAGGGUUGAUUCGGCUGAUCUGGCUGGCUAGGCGGGUGUCCCCUUCCUCCCUCACCGCUCCAUGUGCGUCCCUCCCGAAGCUGGUUGAAGAGGACGACCUUCCCCGAAUAGAGGAGGACCGGUCUUCGGUCAAGGGUAUACGAGUAGCUGCGCUCCCCUGCUAGAACCUCCAAACAAGCUCUCAAAGAAAGAAAUAACAGAAAAGAGAAGGGAGAGAGGAGAGGGAGAAGCAAGAUAGCAAAGUGGGAAAGGGCCUGAGGAUGAAUCCGUUGUAC